rnacentral:lncRNA from 1 species
CAGGCAUCAGUCAGUUGAAGGUAUCAAUCAAAAAUCAUACAAAAAUUAGUGAGGAAGAUCAUCUGGAUCUAACUGAGGCACCUCCAACACCUGACCUUUCAGAAGUACAAUCUGAAAAGAAAUUCUUAGAUGAAUUAGAUAAAAUUAUAGUGAAUCAAUUUAAUAGAAUUUCUUCUUAUGAAACUCUUGAGAAAAUUGCUUCUAUAUUUGAUAUAUGUGAUUUGAAGAUCAGGCC